rnacentral:rRNA from 1 species
GACGAACGCUGGCGGCGUGCUUAACACAUGCAAGUCGAACGAUGAAGAAAAGAAUUGAAGCUUCGGCAGAAAUUCAUUUCGGAUUAGUGGCAGACGGGUGAGUAACGCGUGAGCAACCUACCUCUUACAAAGGGAUAGCCUCGGGAAACCGGGAUUAAUACCAUAUAACAUUGCGACGAAGCAUUUCGAUGCAAUCAAAGCUACGGCGGUAAGAGAUGGGCUCGCGUCCCAUUAACCAGAUGGUGAGGUAACGGCUCACCAUAGUAACGAUGGGUAACCGGCCUGAGAGGGUGAACGGUCACACUGGAACUGAGACACGGUCCAGACUCCUACGGGAGGCAGCAGUGGGGAAUAUUGCACAAUGGAGGGAACUCUGAUGCAGCGACGCCGCGUGAGCGAUGAAGGAAUUCGUUUCGUAAAACUCUGUUCUAUGGGAAGAAAAGGACUGUACCAUAGGAGAAAGCUCCGGCUAAAUACGUG